ACAGACUCAGCUAAGAAACGAACCAAACACACCCAUACUCCCGUACUGUACUACGCUCUUGACGCCGCUGCCUCCCUCAACCCUAUUAUGCGGCCGACGCCGGCGCUUGCCGCCGGCGGACGCACGGUCGCAAGCUUCCUAUCCGCCACGGAAUGGAUGCUUCCGUCUCCGGCCACCCAAGUCCACACCAUCUCCGUCCUUCCCUCUCGUCUCGAGUUCGCCUUCUCCAACCUCACGACGUCGCUCAGGAAUGGCGGCGGCAACGGUAGUGAGACUGGCAAUCCUAAGUUCCAGAUAGUACGGGACGACCUCCUCCACCCGCUCGCCAACGGCAACAAGGCGCGCAAGCUCGACGCCCUCCUGCCCGUCCUCCGCCACUGCGGCGCUACUGACAUCGUUACAUGUGGGGGUUGCCAGAGCGCUCAUGCCGCAGCAGUUGCGGUUCAUUGUGCCGAGUGGGGAAUCAGGCCACAUAUACUGCUGAGAGGCGAGCAACUGGAUGUUCCCACAGGGUAUAAUCUGAUCUCAUUGAUGUUUGGCAAUGUGACAUAUGCCUCUCGGUCUUUGUAUGCCCAAAGAGAUGAGAUGCUUUAUGAGCAUGCCAUAAAGGUUGCAGGAUGUAGUGGCACAGUGAUGUGGGCAGAUGAAAUUAUAGGAAAGGAUUUGGGUUUAGAUGAGGACACCACUGAUGGAAAUGGUUCAAGAAAAGUAAUGAUUGUUAAGGAAGGGGCAGGUAGUGUUCAAGCACUGCUUGGUGUCAUGCGGCUACUGGAGUAUCUUUCUGGUUUGACAUUAUUUGGGAAGGAUGAGAAAGUUCAUAUCGUUGUAGAUUCUGGAACAGGCACAACAGCUGUGGGGUUAGCUCUUGGAGCGGUAUGUCUAGGACUCCAGUGGAGGGUUACCGGUGUUAUGCUUGCUGACACACUUGAAAGAUAUAAACAACGAGAGAGAUCUCUUGUAUCUGAUUUUGAGAAGGUUUUCCCACAAAUCUACCAUGGAAUGGUGGAAGAUGCUACUCAUGACAAUCUAGUUCAAUGGGUGGAGCGCUUUUCACCUAGAAGUUCUGUAAUUUGUGGAUAACAUUCAGGAUUCAGCAUAUUCAGAACCAAGCUCUACUGUCAGAAGAUAACAUUCCAGAUUCAACAUAUUCAGAACAUUGUAAUUUGUGGGUAUCCAUCUACUAAAUUGUUUCAGUGGUAUCCCAAUUGUCAUCAAAGAUAUCAUCCACCUUCUCUCUAGAGGAAUCAACACACAAUAUUUGGCAAGGUGCUGGAAGGUGAAAUCGCAAUGUGCCGCCAGGUAGCUCAACAGACCGGUAUCCUGCUAGAUCCAAUGUACACCUUGGCUGCCUGGGAGCAAGCUGUUGAUCUAUGCUGUGGAGACAGUGCAGCCAAAGUCUUGAUGAUCCAUACGGGUGGCACCCUUGGCCUUUUUGGAUUGGCACAAAGGUAUUCACCACAGUUCACCACAGGCGAACAAUCAUAAGCAGGCCAAACCCAACGUUGAUGUGCAAAUGUUACGGUUUGUGGGUAUGGAAUGUGAUCUUUGACUUUGAAUAAUCAAAAGUAGAAAAAAGCUGUUUUUCCCUUGCGGGGUGCGCUCCCUUUGUAAAAGGGAUUGGUCUUGAUAUUGGUUUGCUUUGAAAAUGGCCUUGUGCUGUGACCGUUGCGGCUACAUUUAUGGUUCAGGAGUCAUGAGUCAUGACCACUACUUCCACUUUUAUGCUGAUGACCCGUAGCGAUCGUUCUA